AUAGUCAUAUAAACUGGUCUUCCUUGUAAGUGUAUGGAUUUUAGCCUAUCAGUGACAACAUUGUACUUCAGGCUAGAUCUUGAAAUGUUCUCUUUGAUGAUAUGUAACGUCAUUCUUUUGACUCUGGUGGAAUAUCCAUGUUUGUAAGACUGCUCACAGACUGUUUGACCAGAGAGUUUUCUGGUACUGCAACAUCUACCACUAAUCUCUGUGAUCCCUGUGAAUUGGCAAAAUAAGAAUAGUGCUAUAGAUUUCUUCCAAAUACAGAAAACAUAAGUAUGAAAAUGUUCUUGCUGUUGAUUAUAUUCUUUACCAAUCUGUUUGUAUGGGAUUUUUGGUACUUCACUUGAAAAAUGAGUCCAAGGUACUGUGAUGUGAUUGUUUACUUUGUGUGGCCUUUCUAGCCAUGGUCUUAUAACAUCCACCCUGGUGCUUGGGCAGGACUGUGUGAUAGGGUAAUUGUGGCUCACCAAGGGGAUUGUUUAUUUUCCCUUCAAAGAGAACCAGUUCCAGAGCAAAGAGGAGGAUUCAACUCCCAUCAAGGAAGAACAGCCAAGAGCCGAGCGUAUAUUAUGGACCUGAGAUCCCUGCACUGAGAAGCUCCUAGAAGCAGGAGACUGAGAUAGAGAGAGGAAGCUGUAACCCUGAAGAUGCUUAAAUACAGACCAGAAGAGGAGUUUGGGGCUUGACACCUGACAUCUUAACACCAGUUCCUGUUUCUUGAGGAAGGAAGAGGUAAAAUAAAUCAGCGUUUACUGUGUCCUUCUCCAUCCCCGGAAGUCCUGAUGAAGACCCUCUCAGCUUCAACUUGAACGUGAAUAUGAGCAACUGAUCAUCUGUUCUGCAGUCAGCCCCUGGCCUGAUUCUGACUCAUGAUAUUGACCAAGUGAAGAGUGAUUCAGAGAAAAACAUGGGUAGAGUGUGACCUAAUUUCCAUAAAAACAAAGAAAUGAAUGUACUUACACGUGUCCCGGCAAAAAGAAGUGUGUAAAAGGGUACAUAUGUAUCUUUGGACACUGGACACUUCAGGGGAGCAGGUACAAUAUACUUAUGUGGGGAUGGCUCUUAUUAUAACUUCUAUAUACAAAUCUCUAUUGUUAAAUGUGUUAUAAGAAUGUAAAAGCUUUUAAAGUUUAAUAACAUCAUACGUGUAUGUGUGUGUAUUUGAAACUUUUUUUCUUUUGACUAUUUUAUAUAUGUGUUUUUUAGUUAUCUAGUUUUUUUUUUAGUGUGGCUAUAGCAGAGAUACCGCAAGUGGAUGGCUUUAACAAACAGAAACUUAUUCUCUCACAGUUUAAGAAGCAACAAGUUUGAAGUCAGGGCACCAGGUCUAGGAGAAAGCUUUCUCUCUUUGUGGCUCUGGGGGAAGGUCCUUGUCAUCUAUCUUCCCCUGGCCUAGGAAAUUCUCAGCGCGUGGACACUGGGUCAAAAAGACGUGCUCCACUCCAGGCACUUCUUCCUUGGUAGUAUGAGGUCCCUCUCAUUUCUGCUCACUCUUCUCUUUGUAUCUCAAAAGAGACUGACUCAAGACUCACCCUAAUCCUGUAGAUUGUGUCCUCCCUCAUUAACCUAACUGCCUCUAAUCCCACCUUAUUAACAUCACAGAGGUUACAAUUUACAACACAUAAGUAAUCACAUCAGAUCACAAAAUGCAGGACAACCACACAAUACUGGGAAUCAUGGUCUGGCCAGGUUGGCACACAUUUUGGGGGACACUAUUCAAUCCAUAACAAUAGAGAAAACACUGUCUUCAAUGCCAGAUUCAGAGACUUUUAUCAAUCUAUGAAGGGCAAACACAGAUAUUGAACAAAAUUCAGACCAGCGAAUUAUUGCUUGCUCUUGUAACUAAUGACUUCUUCUGGUCUCUGUACCUGGAAAUGGCCAAAAAGAAUUCUGUGAGGAUUAAUUCGGUUAUUGCUAAAACAUCUACUGCAUUUACAUGUCUACAGAUAAGGAAGAAUGCUGGACACCAUGUGUGAUUCAUUAAGUAACACAGGGACUAUUAGACUGUUGUUCUCCUUCUCUGAUAUGCCACUAUCACCUUCUCCCCUUGUUGCUCUCCUGAAAAACCCACACUUGUAUAUUCUAGGCUUUUUUCCAGGAUUGAAUUUGCAGGAAGUUGAAGAUAUAUCUUUGAAAGAUAAAAAAGACUUUGGCCACAUUGUCUUUAGACAGUCGAACUUCCCAGCCAGCCUCUGUGCAGGAUGGGAAUUCACAAUCCCUCCUACUCAGUACCUCUGAGCAGGACGGGAUUUCUGUUUCAUUAUCAGGAGACUGUGGAAUUCACCCCUCUUCAGAAAACUUACUUUCCUUUGCCUCAAACUGUCCCUCUCAGGAUCUGUCACGGUCACUCUGAGAAAUUCACAUGGGCAGCCUGUAUGGAAGUGCCCAUCCUAGAGUCCCUGCCCUUCCUUCCUUGCUCCGUAGGGCUUCCUCUGACACUUGGGGUCACAUCUCCCAGGGAGUACACACCUCUGGCACUUCCAGGGAUUCCCAGGCCCUGGGAUACUGUGGAUGGGACUUGGAACUCAAUCUCUUUCUUCCCAUCCUCACCUUUGGUUAUCUGUGUUCUGUCUUCACCAGAUUUAGGAGGCCUUGUCUUCUCUUUGCUCAUUUCAUUUCAGUCAGGCUUUUCUAUUCCAACUCUCUGAUCUCAGGACAGAUCAGGUUAGACCACAGAAAAGAGAAAGACCAAGCAAACAUCACUGAUCUGUGCAGAAGCUGCUGGGAAGGGAUUCGAUUCUCAUUGGUUUAGGGUUUUAAGCCCACUGCUCACCGGCAGGCAGGUUCCCUCCAGAGUCUGGCUUCUGUCUGGUACCUUGUACUACAAAGAACUCAGUGACCAGCCCACCUUCACAAUCACACCUCCCUUAGAGCUAUCUUUGCA